rnacentral:rRNA from 1 species
UACGUAGGUGGCAAGCGUUGUCCGGAUUUAUUGGGUUUAAAGGGUGCGUAGGCGGCCCUGUAAGUCAGUGCUGAAAUCCCCCGGCUUAACCGGGGUGGUGGCAUUGAUACUGCAGGGCUUGAGUACAGAUGAGGUAGGCGGAAUUGACGGUGUGGCGGUGAAAUGCAUAGAUAUCGUCAAGAACACCGAUAGCGAAGGCAGCUUACUGGGCUGUAACUGACGCUGAUGCACGAAAGUGUGGGGAUCAAACAGG